AAUAGAUACCCGGGUAGUCCCAGCCGUAAACGAUGCUCGCUAGGUGUCAGGCAUGGCGCGACCGUGUCUGGUGCCGCAGGGAAGCCGUGAAGCGAGCCACCUGGGAAGUACGGCCGCAAGGCUGAAACUUAAAGGAAUUGGCGGGGGAGCACAACAACGGGUGGAGCCUGCGGUUUAAUUGGACUCAACGCCGGACAACUCACCGGGGGCGACAGCAAUAUGUAGGCCAAGCUGAAGACUUUGCCUGAAUCGCUGAGAGGAGGUGCAUGGCCGUCGCCAGUUCGUACUGUGAAGCAUCCUGUUAAGUCAGGCAACGAGCGAGACCCGUGCCCACUGUUACCAGCAUGUCCUCCGGGACGAUGGGUACUCUGUGGGGACCGCCGAUGUUAAAUCGGAGGAAGGUGCGGGCCACGGUAGGUCAGUAUGCCCCGAAUCUCCCGGGCUACACGCGGGCUACAAUGGAUGGGACAAUGGGUCCCUCCCCUGAAAGGGCUGGUAAUCUCACAAACCCAUUCGUAGUUCGGAUCGAGGGCUGUAACUCG
rnacentral:rRNA from 1 species